rnacentral:rRNA from 1 species
AUGAACGCUGGCGGCAGGCCUAACACAUGCAAGUCGAACGGUAACAGGAAGCAGCUUGCUGCUUCGCUGACGAGUGGCGGACGGGUGAGUAAUGUCUGGGAAACUGCCUGAUGGAGGGGGAUAACUACUGGAAACGGUAGCUAAUACCGCAUAACGUCGCAAGACCAAAGAGGGGGACCUUCGGGCCUCUUGCCAUCGGAUGUGCCCAGAUGGGAUUAGCUAGUAGGUGGGGUAACGGCUCACCUAGGCGACGAUCCCUAGCUGGUCUGAGAGGAUGACCAGCCACACUGGAACUGAGACACGGUCCAGACUCCUACGGGAGGCAGCAGUGGGGAAUAUUGCACAAUGGGCGCAAGCCUGAUGCAGCCAUGCCGCGUGUAUGAAGAAGGCCUUCGGGUUGUAAAGUACUUUCAGCGGGGAGGAAGGGAGUAAAGUUAAUACCUU